GACGAACGCUGCCGGCCUGCUUAACACAUGCAAGUCGAACGAAGUGGCGAACGGGUGAGUAAUACGUUGGUAACCUGCCCUCCUUUUUCGGAUAAUCCUUGCAAACGGGGUCUAACACCGAAUAAAGGGGGAUGGGCUCGCGGCCUAGCAGCGUGUUGGUGGGGUGAUGGCCUACCAAGGCGGUGACGGGUAGCCAGCCUGAGAGGGUGACCGGCCAAAUGGGGACUGAGAUUGGGCCCGGACUCAUACGGGAGGCAGGCGUGGGACAUGUUGGGCGAUUGGCGCAAGCCUGACCCAGCAACGCCGCGUGAAGGAAGACGGUCUUCGGUUUGUAAACUUCUUUGGACAAGGACGCGGAACCUGUAGAAUAAGACACGGCUAACUACGUGCCAGCAGCCGCGGUAAUAC
rnacentral:rRNA from 1 species